rnacentral:lncRNA from 1 species
AUGGAUUAAGCCUCUAAGGCUUAGUUUGGUAUUGAGUUAUAUGCGGAAUGCAAUAUUACGUACGAAAACAAAUAAGAUAUUUUUUCAACAUAUUUUCUCACCGCACGUAACGCAAUCACCGCGCAAUCCCAAACGAAGCCUAAGGCGAUGAAAUUUUUACCUGCACCAGAUGUAUACGAGCACCCGUGCACCACACCUAAUUUUUAUAGGCAAAUUCCUUAAAAUUAAAAUCUAAUCCAAUAAAUGCAAUCUACAUCAUAAAAAAAAAUUAUAGAAAUUAAAAGGACUAAUUAUUAUUCUCCUAAUCUUUUUUUUUUUAGAAAAAACUUCAAAUAUUACCCUUGUGGUUUCCUACUUUUCACUUUAAUGCCUUGUGGUUUAAAGUGUAUCAAUUUAGUACUAUGUGGUUUUAUUUUUCUUUUUUAUUAUCCAUUUCAGUAGUUUUUUUCGUUAAACCAGUAACAAAGUUAAAACUAAAGGUAUUAAAGUGAAUAUUUGAUAAAACUACGUGGGGGUAUCUGAAGUUUUUUGUAUAUAAUUUAACAAAAUAUUAACGGAUGAGCUAAUAAAAAGAGAAAAAUGAAACCACGGGAUACUAACGUGAUAAACUUUAAACUAUAGAGUACUAAAAUGAGAAAAUACGAAAUCACAGUGGUGAUUUUUAAAGUUUAAUUACUUUUGUUUUACUGUGAAAAACAGUUUCUUUUAAUUUUUUUGAUCAUGAAGAAAUUGUUAGUUUAAAAUAUAUUUUUUUCUUUUUGACUAUGAACAUAUUGUUGCUUCUAACAAUCACAUCUUUAACCGAUCGUUCCUAGAGCAAGUGGCAAAGGGUUUGGUGCAUGGUUGGUAUCCGAGACCCAAGUUCGAAUUCUAGUUGAUUCACAUUUCCAGUUAAAUUUAUUUCUAAAUGAAAUAAAUAAAACAGCUAGCGUACUACCUAUCUCUCAAAAAAAACAAUCACAUCUUUAUAUCCUCCUCUCUACAUUCAUGUACUAACUAU